GCUUAGCAAAUUUGUUAAUAUUGUUUGUACCCUAAAGCACCACUCAAAAGCCAACAAAUUAUUUUUUCCUUUUGUCACAUAAUGAGACAUUUUCUGAUCUGUAGCAGGGAAGCAUGCACGAUUUAUGUAAAAGAUACAGGCCAGGAAGGAUGCUGAGGUCACUGUUUUUUUCAAUUACACUUCAUUUACUCUGCAUAACGUGACCUUUACCUUUUACAGGGGAGCUCAAAAUGGCCACUAUAGAAGUCAUUGGUAGUUGUGCUCCCUUGGUACCUAAAGUCAUCUGAAUCCUGACUGCUAAAUAGUCUUUGCCAUAGGGAACAUUUGCUCUGCACACCCUUUUCACACCCUUAUUGCCCAUUCCACCCCAAGGCAGACUGGAUGCUGUUAAAGAUAACUAUAAGGAUGACUCCUGUUAAUGUGAAUGUUUUCCAAUGCAAACUGUGAGGAUGCCAAUACUGAUUUCUCUUCAAACUUGGUUCUAAUUUCAUGGCAUUCAGCCACUCUCAGUAAUAACAAAGUCUGAAUUGCAAACCAGGCUCCAGUUCCCACUCAUGCAAUCAUCUAUCCACCCAGCUUUUCUUCCUUUCAAUUGAAAAGGAGAGGUUGUGAAAUUUUCAUUCCUGAACAACCUAAUGCAAUUUCCUUGCUAGCCCUGCUAUGAACAGUGGAUUUCACUAGAGAUCUUCAGGGAUCCCUUGGAAACUGUUUUUUUCUCUGAUUUCUUCUCUUUAUAGAAGCAGAUGGAGUGAGUGCCCAUAUGCAAGCUUUGGUAGCAGGACAGCUUCAGGGGUUGGCCUCCAUGAGAAGAGAACUCCAUCUCCAACAGAGCCAGUGAUCUCCAAAAUACACCUGCUGCAGGAUAAAGAAUGAAAAGAAAUAUCUUCCUGGCAGCACUGAGUAUGGAGGGGAUAAGGAAAGUAACAAGGAAAAGGCUGCACACAUUUACUAAGCUCUGGCAUCUGUUGUGACAGUGAAGUGAUGAGCACAGACCAGAAUUUCACAACCAGGACCUAGCCAUAACUG